GAGGCCGCGCCCUAUGCACGUGGCCACACGCUUCCGCUUAAAGAGAGCGUCUCCGCGCCGGGGGGCGGAGAAGCGGGACCCUCACAGCUUUGUAAUUGGAAGGCCACCCUAAUCUGUUCUGAACUUGCAUGAAAAUGGAAGAAACACCUGAUAUUACGCCUCUCCACGCUUCAGUUUCUUCAGCAGUACUCCAAAGACGAUGAUCUGUAAGUGGAAAAAACUGAAAUCUCUACAGCCAGUGUAAGCCUGCCAACCUUUGCCUCCAUUGAGUGCCCAGGAGAAUCAAAUGGAUCUGAUCCAGGCUUACAGUCAUAUCUUGAUUCAUCAUCUCUUCUCUUUCAAGAAAUAGUUUCCUACUACUAUUUAAGCAAAUCUUUGCAGAUUCGUGCUGGGUUAUCUCGUGUGCCAAGAGGAUUCUUGAUGCUGUGCAGUAAAUUGCUAAGCUCUGUGGUAGCCUUGAAAACCAACAGCCUGCAAUCGCAGUGAAAACAAGAAGCCUGGAAACCACAGGAGGGAGCAGAAUGGGGCUGGAGUUGCUUCAAAGCCUUAUUUCCAGCAAAAUGUCAUUAUUUGACCUUUCUGGUGGUUCCCUUAAAGACUUGCAGGACUGUCUUUAUUUUACCUGACUCAGAGCUCACUCAGUGCAAAAAGUCUUUCCCAAGGAACAUUAAAAAAAAAAAUUUAGAUGGAAUUGUUUAACUUUGUGGCUACUGGAAACAUUAGAAAACAGUCGGGGCAAACAAUAGGCUAAGAAAAGCUAGGGAAUGAGAUGUCCAUAGGGAUUCUAAAAAACUCUGACAUAUUCCUGGGAAUCUAGAAGUCCAUGUACAUGCAUAGGGCUGUGCACAUGAUCAGGAAAAACAUAAGAAGGCCCUAAGUUCUGUCUUCUGGCUGACCUUCAGGCUCUGUGAAAAUAGGAAAUUAAAACUCGGGUAUAGUUGUCAGUUGCCUGGCUGAGCACUGAAGGAAUGCUCCAACAUGCUCACAGAGACCCUUGGCAAAAACUGGGAGACUUCCUGGUUCUGGCAUUUAAGGAAAUCUCUCUCCAAUCCUUAGCUGACCACUAAGCUAACUGAGUAGAGACUUUAGUGGUCACAUAUGUCAAGGAAUACAGACUUUAUACCUUUAGGAAAAGUCACUAAACAAACAACAAAAACAACAAGUAGCAACAAUAAACACUGAGGCUGGGGUGAAGAAUUUGACUUCCAGAGAUGCCAUUUUAUAUUAUUCAAAAUGUCCAGUUUUCAAGAAAAAAAUGACAAGACAUGCUGAGUAACAUUAAAGUAUGACCCCUAUACAUGGGAAAAAGCCAAGCAAUCAAUAGAAAUAGUCCCUGAGAAAGCCCAGAUGUUGAACUUAGUAGACAAAACUUUAGCUAUUUUAGGUAUGUUCAAAGAACUAAAGUAAACCAUGUCUACAGAACUAAAGGAAAGUAUGAAAAAGAUGUCUUACCAAAUAAAAAAUAGAAAUUAUAGAAAAGAACCAAGUAGAAGAAGUUUUGUAGUUGAAUAAUAACUGAAAUCAAAAUUUACUACAGAGGCUCAACUGUAGAUUUCAGUAGAUAGAAGAAAGAAUCAGUGAACCUGAAAACAGUUUAUUGAGAUUAUCCAGUCAGAGUCAUAUAAAGAAAAAUGAAGCAGAAAAUGAACAGGCUCAGAGAUGUACAGGACAUCAUAAAACAUACCAAUGCAUGAAUGAUGGGAGUCUCAGAAGAGAAGAAGAGAGAAAUAGGGGUAGAAAGAAUAUUUCAAAAAAUAAUGGCUGAAAAUGUGCCAAAUUUGAUGAAAAACAUUAAUCUCCACAUCCAAGAAGCUCAAUGAAUUCCCCUAGACACAUCAUAAUCAAACUGUUGAAAGCUAAAGACAAAGAGAGAAUCCUGAAUGCGAAGAGAAGAGUGAAUCCUGAAUGCAAAGAGAAGAGACUCAUCAUAUCCAAAGGAUGAGAUUUUUCAUCAAAAACCAUAAAGCCCUCUUGGGUGCUGACUGGAUCUAGUGGUAUAUAUCUAAAGUGACUUGACAGUCCUCCUGUUCUGGCACCGGUGAAGAAGGCUCACACCUCCUCUCCUGAUGCCUGAGAAGGCAAAUAUUCAACUUCACACAGUGAUUUGGAAAGAAUGUGACUGACAGAUUCUUCAACAUGUUUAGGGCUUAUCAGGUUUCACUGCAAUAUACCAUAUAGGUUAGUUCUACAUAUAGGUUAGUUUUCUUCCUGAAAACUGUAAUUUUAUUUUCAUUCCACAAGUAUCAGGGACAUAAUAAUGAAAAAAAUCAAAAAAGGUCCUUGUUUUCAUAGAGCUUAUAACCUAGUGACCAGUGAUACUAUUACCACAAAUUUAGUUAAACUUACAGUUUCACCUCUAAAGCCUUUUUCACCUCUGGGUCCCUGAAAGAAAAAAAAAAUGUUAGUUUAGUGUUGUUGAUAGUUAUUUAUCAAAUAUAAUUGAGGCUGUAUCCAGAAACAUGAUAAUUUCUGUUGGGUUUUUUCCUAUCUAGCAAGACCUGUUUAAAGUUAUAUAAAUUCUGAUUUUCCUAAGUUAAAGCAAAACAAAUACAAUCUACUGACUCACCAUGUCUGUUUUGCUAUGCCUAGUUCCACCUUAAAGUGAGGGUUAUGCUACUUAUUCAUUCAGUUAAGUCAAAACAGCUGAUCUGACAAUCAAAGGCAAAAUAAUUUAGAAAGAAAAUUAAGAAAGUUAAAUUCUUCUAAUAUUUGUUUCUCUCAGCCUUUGAAAAACCCUGCUUCCAGGGUGGUUUCCUCCUUCUCUUUUAUCUUCUUUUUUUAAAUUUCUCCUUCUGAGCUAUAUCCCAUAAAUUUUGAUACGUUGUGUAUACAGUUUCAGUCAAUUCAAAAUAUUUUCUAACUUUCUUUGAGACACUCUGGUCCUUGAAUUAUUUAGAAGUGUGAGGUUUAAUUUUCAAGUGUUUGGGGAUUUUCCUAUUAUCUUUCUAGUUUAUUGAUUCUUAGUUUAAUUCUGUUAUGGCCAGAGAAUAUACCUUACAUGACUUCUGUUAUUUUAAGUUUAGUAAAAUUUGUUUUAUGAUCUAAAAUAUGGUUUAUUUCAGUGAAUGUUUCAUGUGCACUUGAAGACAAUGUGAACUCUGCUGUUGCUGGAUGUCACUACUGUUAUUCCUGUUAAUAUUUUCAUGUUCCUUGUGGAAAUUGUGUAUUUAUUAAAAAAUGAGAUAACACUA